UACGUAGGGACCGAGCGUUGUCCGGAAUCAUUGGGCGUAAAGAGCGUGUAGGCGGCCUUUUAAGUCCUGCGUGAAAUCCUGCGGCUCAACCGCAGACGGUCGUGGGAAACUGGAAGGCUAGAGUGCGGGAGAGGAGAGUGGAAUUCCCGGUGUAGCGGUGAAAUGCGCAGAUAAUCGGGAAGAACACCCGUGGCGAAGGCGGCUCUCUGGAACGCAACUGACGCUGAGACGCGAAAGCGUGGGGAGCAAACAGG
rnacentral:rRNA from 1 species